AAAAAAUUGUCAAAACUCUUCUUGAAUUUUUUCAAGGCGAAAACAUAAUUGUGAAUCUUUUGGGGCAUAAGUUGCGUGCCGAGUUAGGUUGGAAACCUGUUGGUGAGGAGUUAAUUAAGGAAGGCCUUGAACUAGUGCUUGAUUCAGAGAGAUAUCCUCUUUUGAUUAUGUGCUCUUUUGGUGUGCACCAAACAGGCAUUCUUGUUGGGUGUUUGCGAAGACUUCAGCUUUGGAAUCUAAACUCCAUUAUACAAGAAUAUCGCUUGUUUGUUAAAGAUAAAAGCCGAUAUAUGACCGAACUAUUCGUUGAAGUUUUUGACCUCGACUUGAUUACUCUUCCCAGCAACUUGCCAGAAUGGCUUAGUAUCCGUGCAGUUGAAGAAUGUUAAAAUGGACAACUAAUCGUUUAAAGGGGGGCCUUGUCACUAUAUUUCAUAAAUCUUUUUUUACUAAUAUAUUUUAUAAG